UCCUUGGUGGCUUAGAGGUUAAAGCGUCUGCCUGCAAUGCGGGAGAUCCGGGUUCGAUCCCUGGAUCAGGAA
rnacentral:tRNA from 1 species